GACGAACGCUGGCGGCGUGCUUAACACAUGCAAGUCGAACGGAAAGGCCCUGCUUUUGUGGGGUGCUCGAGUGGCGAACGGGUGAGUAACAAGUGAGUAACCUGCCUUUGACUUUGGGAUAACUUCAGGAAACUGGGGAUAAUACCGGCUAGGAGCUCGUGCUGCAUGGUGGGGGUUGGAUAGUUUCGGCGGUUGGGGAUGGACUCGCGGUUUAUUAGCUUUUUGGUGGGUUAGUGGCUUACCAAGGCUUUGACGGGUCGCCGGCCUGUGAACGUGAACGGCCACAUUAGGACUGCGGUACGGCCCAGACUCCUACGGGAGGCAGUGGUGGAGAGUAUUACGCAGUGGCGGGAAGCCAGAUGCAGCAACGCCGCGUGCGGGAUGACGGCCUGCGAGUUGAGAACCGCUUUCGCCUGUGACGAAGCGUAAGUGACGGUACUGGGUAAGGAAGCACCGGCUAACUACGUG
rnacentral:rRNA from 1 species